rnacentral:lncRNA from 1 species
CUAUGGUACCAACUCUUUUGCUGUGCCAGCACAGAGGUCUCCAGAGCGACUCUCCUGAAUCAGAUAGCAGGGGCUGUUUGCAGUUUCGUUUCCACGCUUCGCUGACUGGUUAGACAGUGAUCACAGGUUCGGAAGCACGAGCCUCACCACAGCGGAGGAGGCCUCCACUCUGAAGCGGGAUUCCACGCUCCUGCACCCUAAGAUCAGCUAGACUCUCUGCCUUGUUUCAUCUUCUUUCUUUUCCUAAAGAAUCACGGGGAGAACUGACCUCUCUGGGACUCAACCGUGGCUGGAAGGGGACAGGAGAAGCCCUUUCUGGAGGACAGCUGAGCCCUGCAGCUGCCAUCCUGCCUGGCAGGCUAGGGCUGGGCUGCGGGAAGGCCCCCCAGGAGGGAGGUCCGGCCACUGCACCCCGAGGAAAGGGCUGCUUUCGGCACUCUGCGUGGAGGUCCUGGCUUCUGCCGUCCCUGGAGGCUCCGUUCCCGUUUCGCCAGCUAUUUUGCUGCCUCGGCCAUCUGUUCCCUCCCUGUCAUCUCCUCUCUGCUUUAACCUUAACCACUACUUCACUGCAGAUGGUACCAGGCAGUUCUGCUCUCGACAUCCUUCACGACGCCUGGCCCUCCUUCUCAUCUCCAGCAAGUGAACCGCUCUGUCCUUUUUAAAGCCUCAUCCCAAAGACACGGCCAGAGCUUGGAGUUGGAUUCGCCCCACACAACUCCCCCUCUUUGAUGCCAUCUGCUUUCAACUCCACCACUGGCCAGGGGCAAACACCUACCCCUUCCCCUGCCUUUUCCUCCUGAGACUUCUUCUCAAACUCGGCCAAGAAGCUCUCCUGGCAUGGACAGCGUGUCUGCUCCGGGUCUCUACCUGGUCUCCAUCAACAGAGCCAUGUAACCGCCCAGAGGGCUCCAGGUCCGCAAGCUGAGGCGGAGGCCAGAAACUCUGAAGUUCACUCCUACUGUGGAGGAACGAGGGCUCGUGCUGGGAGUUUGGGUCAUGAACAGUUUCCCUGUAGAAAAUGGACCUGAACACUCUGCAGUAAGGAAUUGUUUCCCAUGCUGGCAUGGUGGGAACCGAACCAAAACACAUUUUCUAUGUUGUCUGAGCUCACAGGGAACAUCCCUCUGCUGUCCUUGCUGUUAUUCUGGCAUGCUGGUGAGAAAAUGCAUGCAUGGGCUUUACUUAGCAACUCGCUCUGCCUCUCCUCUCUGUCAGGGCGCUCCCCUAAAAUCUCUCCUCUUGACGUCUUUUUUCUGGCAUAAGGACCCGGAGCUUUGAGGAGCGCAGCAGCCCAGAAGCUCCUAAGGAGAGAAGCUGUUUUGGUGAGAUUGGUUCCACCAGGCUACAUGCCUUGACUGGGACAGAAAUGGGCUGGGAAGGCCGAAAUUUGACUUCUGCACCUGGAUUUGGGCUAAAAAGUCUCACAGCUCAGCCUCCUUGAUAAGGGUUCUUCUAUCUCCCCUCUAUACUUCCUCUGCAGCAGAAAAGAGUAUCUUGGCCGUGCAGGGAACGCUCUUCUCUCACUCUCGCCACUGGGGUUAAGGGCAGCUACAUUACUAUAGCUCCAAGUCUUGGUUGCCCCCAGAGAGAGGCAGAGAUGUAGCCUGCCCACAUCUGGACACUUGAAGACUCUCCAAACACCUAGAGGAGCUGUGGAUUCAAGUGAAGCAACCAUCUGAUGCCACCACGGUCCCUCCUUCCCUUUGCCUUCCCUUCUUCCCACAAAAGAGAAGCCCAAAUCCGCCACCAGACCAGCCCAUCUGCCCGUGGAAACCAAGGGAACCAAAUGCAUCGUACUGGGUUGCAGGCCUUAAUCUAGCUCUCGCUGAAUUAUUCAGGGAUGGCAUUAACUUAUAAAUGAGUGUGUUUGACUGAUUUUGUGGUUGAUGUACAGAUAAAGUCUAAUGAAAGACA